rnacentral:misc_RNA from 1 species
AACCAACUGCAAAGAGCCAGCUACGGGAAAAAAACUACGUUUAUAUACGCAACUCCUAAUCCGUGUAAGAUUUUUUCAAGCGCGUUUAUUUUCUCGAAAACUUUUACCAACCACCCACGCCUAACCUAUUUAAAGCAGAACGGUGAAAUUCACGACGAAUACACGAACAAGAUUAAAUUAUUUGCUCGUUGGAUCGAUCUAUUGGAAUCUUGUUUCUAUCAAACGCUUCGAGCUCUUUCGGUAUCAUGGUCGUACAUGAGCAGACCAUACACGGUAGAAACAGACACAGGGAUGUUUGUAAUAUAAAUGAUCUGUACACGCUUUAUGAGUACAAAUGUAUUACAGGAACAAAAGUUUUUUAAACAUCGGAUCGUACUUUUGAUAGAUUUCAAUUAACUUCUCUUCAAUGUCUUCCCUUUCGUUGUUACUCGAUCACACAACCUGCUACAAUAUCGAAGGCUCCUAAAUUUCGAUCUCGUCGAUAAAUAAAUAAUUAUCACGCUACGUAAAACAAUUUAACGGCGAUAUGAUAUACGAACUACCGAAUCAAAUACAUAAAAAUAUUAGAAGAUGCCCACCUGAUCAGAAAGCUAGAAAAAUGUAUCAAAUGUCCAGCUGGACAAAUUGUAAAGUUAAAUUAAAUAAAUAAAUAAAUAAAUAAAAAAGAAACCUAAUCAUAGCUUAUUAACUAAAACUCGCUCUUCGAAUAUUUGCAUUUCUAAAAUGCCCUUGCCUCUGAAACUUAACCAAACGUCCUCGCGUAAUCAAAUGUCCAGCUGGACAAAUUGUAAAGUUAAAUUAAAUAAAUAAAUAAAUAAAAAAGAAACCUAAUCAUAGCUUAUUAACUAAAACUCGCUCUUCGAAUAUUUGCAUUUCUAAAAUGCCCUUGCCUCUGAAACUUAACCAAACGUCCUCGCGUAAUCAAAUGUCCAGCUGGACAAAUUGUAAAGUUAAAUUGAAUAAAUAAAUAAAUAAAAAAGAAACCUAGUCAUAGCUUAUUAACUAAAACUCGCUCUUCGAAUAUUUGCAUUUCUAAAAUGCCCUUGCCUCUGAAACUUAACAAACGUCCUCGCGUAAUCAAAUGUCCAGCUGGACAAAUUGUAAAGUUAAAUUAAAUAAAUAAAUAAAUAAAAAAGAAACCUAAUCAUAGCUUAUUAACUAAAACUCGCUCUUCGAAUAUUUGCAUUUCUAAAAUGCCCUUGCCUCUGAAACUUAACAAACG